rnacentral:rRNA from 1 species
GAUGAACGCUAGCGGCAGGCCUAACACAUGCAAGUCGAGGGGUAGGACACUUCGGUGUUUGAGACCGGCGCACGGGUGCGUAACGCGUAUGCAAUCUACCUUGUACAGGGGAAUAGCCCAGAGAAAUUUGGAUUAAUGCCCCAUAGUAUAUAACCUUCGCAUGUUGGUUAUAUUAAAGUUCCAACGGUACAAGAUGAAGAUGCGGUCCCAUGAGUUAGGUGGUAAGGUAACGGCUUACCAAGACGAUGAUGGGUAGGGGUCCUGAGAGGGAGACCCCCCACACUGGUACUGGGACACGGACCAGACUCCUACGGAAGGCAGCAGUGAGGAAUAUUGGUCAAUGGGCGCAAGCCUGAACCAGCCAUGCCGCGUGCAGGAAGACGGUCCUAUGGAUUGUAAACUGCUUUUAUACAGGAAGAAACAACUCUACGUGUAGAGUCUUGACGGUACUGUAGGAAUAAGGAUCGGCUAACUCCGUGCCAGCAGCCGCCGUAACAC